rnacentral:misc_RNA from 1 species
AGCAGCCGCGGUAAUUCCAGCUCCAAUAGCGUAUAUUAAAGUUGUUGCAGUUAAAAAGCUCGUAGUUGAAUUUCGGGAUCAAUAUGUCGGUCGUGCCUUGGUACGUACUGGUAUCAUUGGUCUCUCCUUUCUGACGAACCAUGAUGUCAUUAAUUUGGUGUUAUGGGAAGUUAGGACUGUUACUUUGAAAAAAUUAGAGUGUUUAAAGCAGGCUUUAGCUUGAAUACAUUAGCAUGGAAUAAUGAAAUAGGACGUUCGAACCUAUUUUGUUGGUUUCUAGGAUCAACGUAAUGAUUAAUAGGGAUAGUUGGGGGCAUUAGUAUUCAAUUGUCAGAGGUGAAAUUCUUGGAUUUAUUGAAGACUAACUACUGCGAAAGCAUUUGCCAAGGAUGUUUUCAUUAAUCAAGAACGAAAGUUAGGGGAUCGAAGACGAUCAGAUACCGUCGUAGUCUUAACCAUAAACUAUGCCGACUAGGGAUCGGAUGAUGUUAAUUUUUUAAUGACUCAUUCGGCGCCUUAC